rnacentral:lncRNA from 1 species
UUGGGGGUCAGCAGUUUGUAUCAUUGUCAAGGGAACACCUGGAAAAAGGGGAAUGAAGACCACAUCUCCCUCCCUUUUGAGGUUCAAUGUCAUUAGAGUAUCUUAGAGCUCAGGACUGAGAUCUUUGGGCAGAGAUGAUCCUCCAAGGGGAAACUGGCUCUGAGAGUGGAGAAAGUCGGGGCAGACACUUAUCCUGGGAAAGGGCUGGUUCUGGAACUUCCUCCAGCCCCACCUUGUGUGAGGGCUUCAAAUCAGUGACUAAAUGUGUAGAUGUGAAGUUGAGAUGAGAUUGGGAAGCCCAGCUGGGCUCUUUGACCUGAAUGACCAUGUAAAUCUGAGAGCAAUUGGCAGGGGAGCAAGAGAUCUACUGUCCUUCCUGCCCCUUCCCAUGCACCCCCAUCCCUCUAACCAUGAUGCUGGCUCGCGAGAUGGCUGAGAUGGAAAGAGCCAGGCUUGGAAACCAGAGACCUGGCUGAGCAUGCGGACGCUACCCUCUCCCAGCUGCAGGGCCUGAGCCCUUCUCCAGGCUCAGGUUUGCUUACCUGGUGGGCUCACACCUGUCCUGCCUGCUUCAUGAGGUGAGAACAUAC